GCAGCAGUAGGAAACUUCGGUUUCCUAGCUGGCGACCGGCGGACGGGUGCGUAACACGUAGCUACUUGCCCUACAGUGGGGGAUAACAGCCCGAAAGGGCUGCUAAUACCGCAUACACCCGAGAGGGGAAAGCCGUAAGGCGCUGUAGGAUAGGGCUGCGGCGUAUCAGCUAGUUGGUGGGGUAAUGGCCUACCAAGGCUAUGACGCGUAGCUGGUCUGAGAGGAUGAUCAGCCACACUGGAACUGAGACACGGUCCAGACUCCUACGGGAGGCAGCAGUGGGGAAUAUUGGGCAAUGGGCGAAAGCCUGACCCAGCAAUGCCGCGUGGAGGAAGACGCCCUUCGGGGUGUAAACUCCUUUUGUAGGGGAAGAAACUGACGGUACCCUACGAAUAAGCUCCGGCUAACUCCGUGCCAGCAGCCGCGGUAAUACGGGGGGAGCGAGCGUUACUCGGAAUCACUGGGCGUAAAGGGUGCGUAGGCGGCUUGGUAAGUUAGGAGUGAAAGCCCACAGCUCAACUGUGGAACUGCUUCUAAAACUGCUAAGCUAGAGUCCGGGAGAGGCUGCGGGAAUUCCUGGUGUAGGGGUGAAAUCCGUAGAGAUCAGGAAGAAUGCCGAAAGCGAAGGCGCGCAGCUGGAACGGUACUGACGCUGAGGCACGAAAGCGUGGGGAGCAAACAGGAUUAGAUAC
rnacentral:rRNA from 1 species